UGUACACGCUGUGACUAGCAUAUCAAUAAGCGGAGGAAAAGAAACUAACAAGGAUUCCCCUAGUAACGGCGAGUGAAGCGGGAAGAGCUCAAAUUUGAAAUCUUAAAGGGUUUCCCUUUACGAAUUGUAGUUUAAAGAAGUGUUUUCUGUUGAGGUUUUGGUAAAAGUUCUUUGGAAUAGGACAUCAUAGAGGGUGAGAAUCCCGUAUUUGACCUUUACUUUCAACUUUGUGAUACACUUUCAAAGAGUCGGAUUGUUUGGGAAUGCAGUCCAAAAUGGGUGGUAAAUUUCAUCUAAAGCUAAAUAUUGGCGAGAGACCGAUAGCGAACAAGUACCGUGAGGGAAAGAUGAAAAGAACUUUGAAAAGAGAGUUAAACAGUACGUGAAAUUGUCAAAAGGGAAGCGUUUGACACCAGUGUUGUUUUUCUGAAAAUCAAUUAAAGAACUGUUUAUGCUAAGCUGUUUAGACUUUAUCAGCUAUCUGUUUAGUUUUGAGCUUUUCUUUAAUGCACUUUUCAGUUAACAAGUCAACAUCAAUUUCUUUUGCUGUAAAAAAGCUUGAGGAAGGUGGCUUGAGAUUCGUCUUAAGUGUUUAUAGCCUCUUGCCUAUGCAGUCGGAGAGAUUGAGGUCUGCAGCGUAGAUCCUUCGGGGCUAAAUGCAUUUGUGCUAAGUUAUAGCAUUUUAUAGACAACUUGUUGACUAUGAUUUGUCUUGUAGCUUACUCGCUUAUGUUAUUUUACCUACGCUUAGGAUGUUGAAGAUGUAGCACAUCAU
rnacentral:rRNA from 1 species